rnacentral:lncRNA from 1 species
CCUUGAGGUAGCCCUGCAGCGCCUUGACUUGCUUCUGGGCCUCGGCUGCCAUGCGGUUGGCGUGGCUCAGUUGGAUCUCCAUCUCGUUGAGGUCGCCCUCCAUCUUCUUCUUCAGCCUCAGCGCUUCGUUGCGGCUCCGCGUCUCGGCGUCCAGCGACGUCUGCAGUGAGUCCACCACCCGCAGGUGGUUCCGCUUGGCCUGCUCCAUCUCCUCCUCCUUCUCCGCCAGCUUGCGCUCGUAGUCCGCCUUCACUUGGUUGAACUCCAGCUGGGCCCUCAGGAUCUUCCCCUCCUCGUGUUCCAGGGACGCCUCGGCCUCCUCCAGCGCUGCUUGCAGCUCCAGCUUCUCGGCGUCCAGCUGCUUACGGACCUUCUCCAGCUCGUGGAUGGUCUUGUGGCCGGCUCCCAGCUGCUCCGUCAAGUCCGAGAUCUCCUCUUGGAGGUUCUUGGCCUCCCUCUUGAAGGUCUCCAGGUGCUCCAGCGACUCCUCGUAGGCGUUCUUCAGCUUGAAGAGCUCAGUGCUGAGGGACCGGGACUCCUUCUGCGCCGCCUCCAGCUCCGUCUGCGACUCCUCGAACUUCUGCUUCCACUCCGACAAGAUCUUAUCAAAGUUCCUUUGCUUCUUAUCCAGAGCGGCAGCCGCAGCGUUUGACCUCUCCAGGUCCGCCAUCAGGUCCUCGAUCUCAUUCUGCAGCCGGUGCUUGGUCUUCUCCAGGGAGGAGCAUUUGGCGUUGACCGCCUCCACCGCCUCCUCGGCUUCCUGCAGCCGCUGCGCCAGCUUCUUCUUGGCCUCCUCCAACUCCUCGGUGCGUUGGAUGGCGUCCGUCUCAUACUUGGUCCUCCACUGGGCCACCUCCAAGUUGGCUUUGGAGAGGGCACGCUGCAGCUCAGCCCUGGCCUCCAUCUCCUCUUCAUACUGCUCCCUCAGC